GUCUCUGUAGUGCAAUGGAUAGCACUUUGGACUUCUAAUCCAAUGGUUGUGUGUUCGAAUCCCACCCGAGAUG